GCAGACCCAUACAGUGGCUGGCGGGGUGGUGGUGUUAUUUAAUUGUUGUGGUGUGGGAAGGAGCUGUAUUGAGCGUGUGUGGCCGGUGUUGCCAGGCACGGCCGGCCGGCAGAAAGGCAGGGCUCGCUAGUGAGUGCUUCCUCCAGGGCCUGGUGGCCUGGCCCAGCUGGUCAUCAGGCUACCUGGCGCCUCGAACUCCAUUAGCCGGCGGGGUUCAGGUGGGCGGCGCCGAGGGGUUCACACCUGCAAACCGAACUGCCAUAAACAGACGGUUUCACUGAGAGGACGAAGUAACUGGUCUUGGGGUGGGGCCGGGAAGGCAGCGGUGGACCGAGCAGUGUGGGCGGGCUGGCAAAGAUGUGGAGGAAGGCUUGUGCUGAAGAUGGACAUUAAUGCUUUGUUCUUUUCCAUCUUGAUUUAUUUUUAUGUGUUUGAUGGUAAUUAGAGGCGGCCACCCCUGUUUCCCACACGUGGUGUAGAUCUCUAAUAUAUGCAAUUGUGGGGAGACAAAGUGCGUUGUGUUAAUCUGUCUUGAAAAUAUAUUGUAAACUGUAUU